rnacentral:rRNA from 1 species
GACGGACGCUGGCGGCGUGCUUAACACAUGCAAGUCGAACGGUGACCCAGGGCUUGCCCUGGUGAUCAGUGGCGAACGGGUGAGUAACACGUGGGCAACCCGCCCCUGACUUCGGGAUAACUCCUCGAAAGAGGAGCUAAUACCGGAUACGACCACUUCGGACAUCCGAUGGUGGUGGAAAGUUUUUCGGUCAGGGAUGGGCCCGCGGCCUAUCAGCUAGUUGGUGGGGUAAUGGCCUACCAAGGCGACGACGGGUAGCCGGCCUGAGAGGGCGACCGGCCACACUGGGACUGAGACACGGCCCAGACUCCUACGGGAGGCAGCAGUGGGGAAUAUUGCGCAAUGGGCGAAAGCCUGACGCAGCGACGCCGCGUGAGGGAUGAAGGCCUCGGUUGUAAACCUCUUUCAGCAGGGACGAAGCGAAAGUGACGGUACCUGCAGAAGAAGCACCGGCUAACUACGUGCCAGCAGCC